GUGUCAGCCGCCGCGGUAAUACGGAGGGUGCGAGCGUUAAUCGGAAUUACUGGGCGUAAAGCGCAUGCAGGUGGUUUGUUAAGUCAGAUGUGAAAGCCCGGGGCUCAACCUCGGAAUUGCAUCUGAUACUGGCAGGCUUGAGUCUCGUAGAGGGGGGUAGAAUUCCAGGUGUAGCGGUGAAAUGCGUAGAGAUCUGGAGGAACACCAGUGGCGAAGGCGGCCCCCUGGACAGAUACUGACACUCAGAUGCGAAAGCGUGGGGAGCAAACAGGAUUAGAAACC
rnacentral:rRNA from 1 species